rnacentral:rRNA from 1 species
AACGAACGCUGGCGGCAUGCCUAACACAUGCAAGUCGAACGAGACCUUCGGGUCUAGUGGCGCACGGGUGCGUAACGCGUGGGAACCUGCCCUUAGGUUCGGAAUAACUCCCCGAAAGGGGUGCUAAUACCGGAUAAUGUCUUCGGACCAAAGAUUUAUCGCCUUUGGAUGGGCCCGCGUUGGAUUAGCUAGUUGGUAGGGUAAAAGCCUACCAAGGCGACGAUCCAUAGCUGGUCUGAGAGGAUGAUCAGCCACACUGGGACUGAGACACGGCCCAGACUCCUACGGGAGGCAGCAGUGGGGAAUAUUGGACAAUGGGCGAAAGCCUGAUCCAGCAAUGCCGCGUGAGUGAUGAAGGCCGUAGGGUUGUAAAGCUCUUUUACCAGGGAUGAUAAUGACAGUACCGGGAGAAUAAGCUCCGGCUAACUCCGUG